rnacentral:lncRNA from 1 species
ACUCUACCAUUCUGACCAUUCAAGAGUCUACGUUACCAUGCACAACUCUUCUUUACACUUACCAUUCCUGUCACGCCCCAUGCCCCGCCAAUUUGGUCGGGUUCGAGCACGCCGACAGACCGCCGAAUGGACAGAGUUUUUCCUGUACGUCCUAGACAUCGCAAUCAAUACCAUACAAGGGUUCCAACCAGGAACAGUAUUUAACAAUCAGAUUGCAUAGGGAAGUAUCAAAGACAUAAAACUACUUGCUAUUACAAGCAUUCACAUUCAAACAUUUUUACAUUACAUUCAACUCCCAAAUGCAAUUAAGUUAUUACAAUUUACUACCAGUUUAUUACAACUUUUACUUUUCCUUCCCUCUACCCCAA